rnacentral:rRNA from 1 species
AAUUGCGAAGGCAGCUUUCUGGAUCAUUACUGACACUGAGGAACGAAAGCAUGGGUAGCGAAGAGGAUUAGAUACCCUCGUAGUCCAUGCCGUAAACGAUGUGUGUUAGACGUUGGAAAUUUAUUUUCAGUGUCGCAGGGAAACCGAUAAACACACCGCCUGGGGAGUACGACCGCAAGGUUAAAACUCAAAUGAAUUGACGGGGACCCGCACAAGUAGUGGAGCAUGUGGUUUAAUUCGAAGAUACGCGCAGAACCUUACCAACACUUGACAUGUUCGUCGCGACUCUAAGAGAUUAGAGUUUUCGGUUCGGCCGGACGAAACACAGGUGCUGCAUGGCUGUCGUCAGCUCGUGUCGUGAGAUGUUGGGUUAAGUCCCGCAACGAGCGCAACCCUCACUUUUAGUUGCCAUCAUUAAGUUGGGCACUCUGAAAGAACUGCCAGUGAUAAGCUGGAGGAAGGUGGGGAUGACGUCAAGUCCUCAUGGCCCUUACGUGUUGGGCUACACACGUGCUACAAUGGCAUCUACAACAGGAAGCAAAACGGCAACGUUAAGCAAAUCCCGAAAAGAUGCCUCAGUUCGGAUUGCACUCUGCAACUCGAGUGCAUGAAGCUGGAAUUACUAGUAAUCGUGGAUCAGCGUGCCACGGUGAAUGCGUUCCCGGGUCUUGUACACACCGCCCGUCACACCAUGGGAGUUGGUUCUACCUUAAGGCAAGGUUUUAAACCCUUGACCACGGUAUAGUCAGCGACUGGGGUGAAGUCGUAACAAGGUAACCGUA